rnacentral:tRNA from 1 species
GCGGAAGUGGUGGAAUUGGUAGACACGCCAUCUUGAGGGGGUGGUGACGAGAGUCGUGCGGGUUCGAGUCCCGCCUUCCGCA